rnacentral:rRNA from 1 species
GCGUGGGUGAAGAAGGUCCUCGGAUUGUAAAGCCCUUUCGGCGGGGACGAUGGUGACGGUACCCGCAGAAGAAGCCCCGGCCAACUUCGUGCCAGCAGCCGCGGUAAUACGAAGGGGGCUAGCGUUGCUCGGAAUGACUGGGCGUAAAGGGCGCGUAGGCGGCGCGGUCAGUCGGGCGUGAAAGCCCCGGGCUCAACCCGGGGAGUGCGCCCGAGACGGCCGCGCUCGAGGUCGGGAGAGGCUCGCGGAAUUCCCAGUGUAGAGGUGAAAUUCGU